rnacentral:rRNA from 1 species
CCUACGGGUGGCUGCAGUGAGGAAUAUUGGUCAAUGGCGGUAACUCUGAACCAGCCAAGUAGCGUGAGGGAAGACUGCCCUAUGGGUUGUAAACCUCUUUUAUGCGGGGAUAAAGGUGUCCACGUGUGGAUGUUUGCAGGUACCGCAUGAAUAAGGACCGGCUAAUUCCGUGCCAGCAGCCGCGGUAAUACGGAAGGUCCGGGCGUUAUCCGGAUUUAUUGGGUUUAAGGGGAGCGUAGGCCGGCCUUUAAGCGUGCCGUGAAAUUCCGUGGCUCAACCAUGGCAGUGCGGCGCGAACUGGAGACCUUGAGGGCGCGGAAGGCAGGCGGAAUUCGUGGUGUAGCGGUGAAAUGCUUAGAUAUCACGAAGAACCCCGAUUGCGAAGGCAGCCUGCCGCAGCGUUACUGACGCUGAGGCUCGAAAGCGCGGGUAUCGAACAGGAUUAGAUACCCGUGUAGUC